GAGUCAGCCCCGGAGGCAGGUGCAGAUGGAGGCGUUUCCUGUCAGGAUGUGGGACUUUUCUUCUGACGGUUCCCCAGGGAACCUCUUAAAUUUAGAAAACUGUGCCUAACAAUGUCUUCUCUAUGCAUAUGAGGACCUUUUCUCCCUGGCACAAAAUGCAGAUUGACGCUGACACGGAUGAAAAUUCCUCAACCAUGGUCACAACGAUCAGAGUCCUGAGUAACCUCAGGGCUUCCCGGUGUUCAGUGUGAGGUGGAGCUGAUAGAGCCCGUAGAGGACCUGAGACAACCUGGGAAGUUCCUGAGACUCUCCUGUGUAGCCUCUAGAUUCGCCUUCAGUAGCUUCUGAAUGAGCCGAGUUCACAAGUCUCCAGGCAAGGGGCUGGAGUGAGUAAUAGAUAGAAAAGAUGAUGGAAGUCAGAUACACCAUGCAGACUCUGUGAAGGGCAGAUUCUCCAUCUCCAAAGACAAUGCUAAGAACUCUCUGUAUCUGCAAAUGAACAGUCAGAGAACUGAGGACAUGGCUGUGUAUGGCUGUACAUAAGGUCCCAAGUGAGGAAACAUCGGUGUGAGUCCAGACACAAAAUUUCCUGCAAAAAGAAGAAAGGAGUCUGGGCCAAAGGAGACACUCAGCACUCCCAAAACAGGUGGAUUUUCCCUCUUCUUGCCCAGACUGGAGUGCAAUGGUGCCAUCUCAGCUCACUGCAAUGUCCCCCUCCCAGGUUCAGGGUCCUGCUCACAUGGGAAAUACUUUCUGAGACUCACGGACCUCCUGCACAAGAACAUGAAACACCUGUGGUUCUUCCUCCUGCUGGUGGCAGCUCCCAGAGGGGUCCUGUCCCAGGUGCAGCUGCAGGAGUCGGGCCCAGGACUGGUGAAGCCUUCACAGACCCUGUCCCUCACCUGCGCUGUCUCUGGUGGCUCCAUCACUAGUGGUUAUUACUACUGGAGCUGGAUCCGCCAGCCACCAGGGAAGGGACUGGAGUGGAUUGGGAGUAUCUAUUAUAGUGGGAGCACCUACUACAACCCAUCCCUCAAGAGUCGAGUCACCAUAUCAGUAGACACGUCCAAGAACCAGUUCUCCCUGAAGCUGAGCUCUGUGACCGCCGCGGACACGGCCGUGUAUUACUGUGCGAGAGGCACGGUGAGGGGAGAGAAGAGGCCAUGUGGAGACAUAGUGGACUAGAAGAUGCAAGCCAAGAAGAAGCCGCACCAAGAACCAACCCUGCCAGCACCUGGACCUUGGACAUUCAGACUUCAGAAUGGUGAGAAAAUCAAUGUUUGUUGUUUAAGCCACCCACUCCUGUUGUCU